rnacentral:rRNA from 1 species
UACACACCGCCCGUCACACCAUGGGAGUCGAUUGCUCCAGAAGUAGGUAGCCUAACCGCAAGGGGGCGCUUACCAAGGAGUGAUCGGUGACUGGGGUG